rnacentral:ncRNA from 1 species
AAAGCGGUAUCAUAAGGCCUGGUGACCUUGGCCCUUCGUAGAAGGGACCUAGCUCCUGCUGAAAUGCAGGAGGACAGAUUGAAAUCAAGGCCCAGGGUGAGCCGCUUU